rnacentral:rRNA from 1 species
UACAGAGGUCUCAAGCGUUGUUCGGAUUCAUUGGGCGUAAAGGGUGCGUAGGCGGCGCGGUAAGUCGGGUGUGAAAUCUCGGGGCUUAACUCCGAAACUGCAUUCGAUACUGCCGUGCUUGAGGACUGGAGAGGAGACGUGGAAUUUACGGUGUAGCGGUGAAAUGCGUAGAUAUCGUAAGGAAGACCAGUGGCGAAGGCGGGUC